AAUGAACGCUGGCGGCAGGCUUAACACAUGCAAGUCGAACGAGGCGGGGAGGGGAGAGUAAUGCGUGGGAAUGCAGGUUAUGGAGGGGGAUAAAUACGGGAAACUGUAGCUAAUAGCGCGAACCAGAGGGUGAGCACAAGUGGGAUUAGGUAGUGGGUGAGGUAAAGGCACACAAAGGCCACGAUCUCUAGCUGGUCUGAGAGGAUGACCAGCCAAACUGGGACUGAGACCCGGCCCAGACUCCUACGGGAGGCAGCAGUGGGGAAUAUUGCACAAUGGGCGCAACCCUGAUGCAGCCAUGCCGCGUGUAUGAAGAAGGCCUUCGGGUUGUAAAGUUCUUUCGGUCGCGAGGCGUUACCUACAGAAGAAGCACCGGCUAACUCCGUGCCAGCAGCCGCGGUAAUUC
rnacentral:rRNA from 1 species